rnacentral:rRNA from 1 species
CCUACGGGGGGCAGCAGUGGGGAAUAUUGGGCAAUGGGCGCAAGCCUGACCCAGCAACGCCGCGUGAAGGAAGAAGGCUUUCGGGUUGUAAACUUCUUUUAAGAGGGAAGAGCAGAAGACUGUACCUCUUGAAUAAGCCACGGCUAACUACGUGCCAGCCGCCGCGGUAAUACGUAGGUGGCACGCGUUGUCCGGAUUUACUGGGUGUAAAGGGCGUGUAGCCGGGCUGACAAGUCAGAUGUGAAAUCCCGUGGCUCAACCACGGAACUGCAUUGGAAACUGUCGGUCUUGAGUAUCGGAGAGGCAAGCGGAAUUCCUAGUGUAGCGGUGAAAUGCGUAGAUAUUAGGAGGAACACCAGUGGCGAAGGCGGCCUGCUGGACGACAACUGACGGUGAGGCGCGAAAGCGUGGGGAGCAAACAGGAUUAGAUACCCUAGUAGUC